rnacentral:rRNA from 18 species
AAUGGAAGGGUCGUCGCUCAAAGGAUAAAAGGUACGCCGGGGAUAACAGGCUGAUGAUUCCCAAGAGCUCAUAUCGACGGAAUCGUUUGGCACCUCGAUGUCGGCUCAUCACAUCCUGGGGCUGAAGCCGGUCCCAAGGGUAUGGCUGUUCGCCAUUUAAAGUGGUACGCGAGCUGGGUUUAGAACGUCGUGAGACAGUUCGGUCCCUAUCUGCCGUGGGUGUAGGAGAAUUGAGAGGAUCUGUCCCUAGUACGAGAGGACCGGGAUGGACGUAUCUCUGGUGGACCUGUUGUUGCGCCAG